AAAGAAACCAACAGGGAUUGCCUCAGUAACGGCGAGUGAAGCGGCAAGAGCUCAAAUUUGAAAUCUGGCCCCUUCGGGGUCCGAGUUGUAAUUUGUAGAGGAUGCUUCGGGUGCGGCCCCCGUCUAAGUGCUCUGGAACGGGCCAUCGGAGAGGGUGAGAAUCCCGUCUGGGACGGGGUGUCCGCGUCCAUGUGAAGCUCCUUCGACGAGUCGAGUUGUUUGGGAAUGCAGCUCUAAAUGGGUGGUAAAUUUCAUCUAAAGCUAAAUACUGGCCGGAGACCGAUAGCGCACAAGUAGAGUGAUCGAAAGAUGAAAAGCACUUUGAAAAGAGAGUUAAACAGCACGUGAAAUUGUUGAAAGGGAAGCGCUUGCGACCAGACUCGCUUCCGGGGUUCAGCCGGCUUUCGGGCCGGUGUACUUCCCCGGGGGCGGGCCAGCGUCGGUUUGGGCGGCCGGUCAAAGGCCCCUGGAAUGUAACGCCCCUCGGGGCGCCUUAUAGCCAGGGGUGUCAUGCGGCCAGCCUGGACCGAGGAACGCGCUUCGGCACGGACGCUGGCAUAAUGGUCGUAAACGAC
rnacentral:rRNA from 1 species